rnacentral:rRNA from 1 species
AGUGAACGCUGGCGGUAGGCCUAACACAUGCAAGUCGAACGGCAGCACAGGAGAGCUUGCUCUCUGGGUGGCGAGUGGCGGACGGGUGAGGAAUACAUCGGAAUCUACUUUUUCGUGGGGGAUAACGUAGGGAAACUUACGCUAAUACCGCAUACGACCUACGGGUGAAAGCAGGGGACCUUCGGGCCUUGCGCGAUUGAAUGAGCCGAUGUCGGAUUCGCUAGUUGGCGGGGUAAAGGCCCACCAAGGCGACGAUCCGUAGCUGGUCUGAGGGGAUGAUCAGCCACACUGGAACUGAGACACGGUCCAGACUCCUACGGGAGGCAGCAGUGGGGAAUAUUGGACAAUGGGCGCAAGCCUGAUUCAGCCAUACCGCGUGGGUGAAGAAGGCCUUCGGGUUGUAAAGCCCUUUUGUUGGGAAAGAAAUCCAGCUGGCUAAUACCCGGUUGGGAUGACGGUACCCAAAGAAUAAGCACCGGCUAACUUCGUGCCAGCCGCCGCGGUAA